ensembl:lncRNA
AGACAGAGAGGGAGGUGUAUUUGGACAGAGAGGGAGGUGUUUUUAGACAGAGAGGGAGGUGUAUUUAGACAGAGAGGGAGGUGUAUUUAGACAGAGAGGGAGGUGUAUUUAGACAGAGAGGGAGGUGUUUUUAGACAGAGAGGGAGGUGUAUUUAGACAGAGAGGGAGGUGUUUUUAGACAGAGAGGGAGGUGUAUUUAGACAGAGAGGGAGGUGUAUUUAGACAGAGAGGGAGGUGUAUUUAGACAGAGAGGGAGGUGUAUUUAGACAGAGAGGGAGGUGUAUUCAGACAGAGAGGGAGGUGUAUUUCUAUGUGUCAUCUAGGUGGCAUUCCCAAGUCUGUGUCUAAAAUGUCAACUCAGUUUCCUUGUGGAAUGUUUGUUUACAGCCCACAUGUAAAUCGAGGGUUGGGAGUUACCACAAACUAAAGGCUUUCCAUGUAACACCUCCCACAUUCUGUAAACAAACAAACGGAGAGCUCGAGAGAGAGGAGCCGGAAGCAGGGAAUUCCAGUAC